rnacentral:rRNA from 1 species
GAUGAACGCUGGCGGCGUGCCUAAUACAUGCAAGUCGAGCGAACGGACGAGAAGCUUGCUUCUCUGAUGUUAGCGGCGGAAGGGUGAGUAACACGCGGAUAACCUACCUAUAAGACUGGGAUAACUUCGGGAAACCGGAGCUAAUACCGGAUAAUAUUUUGAACCGCAUGGUUCAAAAGUGAAAGACGGUCUUGCUGUCACUUAUAGAUGGAUCCGCGCUGCAUUAGCUAGUUGGUAAGGUAACGGCUUACCAAGGCAACGAUGCAUAGCCGACCUGAGAGGGUGAUCGGCCACACUGGAACUGAGACACGGUCCAGACUCCUACGGGAGGCAGCAGUAGGGAAUCUUCCGCGAUGGGCGAAAGCCUGACGGAGCAACGCCGCGUGAGUUAUGAAGGUCUUCGGAUCGUAAAACUCUGUUAUUAGGGAAGAACAUAUGUGUAAGUAACUGUGCACAUCUUGACGGUACCUAAUCAGAAAGCCACGGCUAACUACGUG